rnacentral:rRNA from 1 species
CAUGCAAGUCGAGGGGCAGCAUGGUCUUAGCUUGCUAAGGCCGAUGGCGACCGGCGCACGGGUGAGUAACACGUAUCCAACCUGCCGUCUACUCUUGGACAGCCUUCUGAAAGGAAGAUUAAUACAAGAUGGCAUCAUGAGUCCGCAUGUUCACAUGAUUAAAGGUAUUCCGGUAGACGAUGGGGAUGCGUUCCAUUAGAUAGUAGGCGGGGUAACGGCCCACCUAGUCUUCGAUGGAUAGGGGUUCUGAGAGGAAGGUCCCCCACAUUGGAACUGAGACACGGUCCAAACUCCUACGGGAGGCAGCAGUGAGGAAUAUUGGUCAAUGGGCGAGAGUCUGAACCAGCCAAGUAGCGUGAAGGAUGACUGCCCUAUGGGUUGUAAACUUCUUUUAUAAAGGAAUAAAGUCGGGUAUGGAUACCCGUUUGCAUGUACUUUAUGAAUAAGGAUCGGCUAACUCCGUGCCAGCAGCCGCGGUAAUACGGAGGAUCCGAGCGUUAUCCGGAUUUAUUGGGUUUAAAGGGAGCGUAGAUGGAUGUUUAAGUCAGUUGUGAAAGUUUGCGGCUCAACCGUAAAAUUGCAGUUGAUACUGGAUAUCUUGAGUGCAGUUGAGGCAGGCGGAAUUCGUGGUGUAGCGGUGAAAUGCUUAGAUAUCACGAAGAACUCCGAUUGCGAAGGCAGCCUGCUAAGCUGCAACUGACAUUGAGGCUCGAAAGUGUGGGUAUCAAACAGGAUUAGAUACCCUGGUAGUCCACACGGUAAACGAUGAAUACUCGCUGUUUGCGAUAUACUGCAAGCGGCCAAGCGAAAGCGUUAAGUAUUCCACCUGGGGAGUACGCCGGCAACGGUGAAACUCAAAGGAAUUGACGGGG